rnacentral:rRNA from 1 species
GGGGGGGGGGGGGGGGGGGGGGGGGGGGGGGGGGGGGGGGGGGGGGGGGGGGGGGGGGGGGGGGGGUGGGGGGGCGGGCGGGGGGGUGACAGGUGGGUAGCCUGCCCGUGACUGUGGGGGAACGUCAGGAAACUGGGGCUGAUGCCGGAUAGGAGCUCCGGCUGCAGGGGGGGGGCUGGAAAGGUGCGGCGGGGGGGGAUGGACUCGCGGCUUGUCAGCGUGUUGGUGGGGUAGUGGCUUACCAAGGCUUUGACGGGUAGCCGGCCUGAGAGGGUGACCGGCCACAUUGGGACUGAGAUACGGCCCAGACUCCUACGGGAGGCAGCAGUGGGGAAUAUUGCACAAUGGGCGGAAGCCUGAUGCAGCAACGCCGCGUGCGGGAUGACGGCCUUCGGGUUGUAAACCGCUUUCGCCUGUGACGAAGCGUGAGUGACGGUAAUGGGUAAAGAAGCACCGGCUAACUACGUG